rnacentral:rRNA from 1 species
GGUGACGUCAGUGGUGGAGGUGCGGUGGUGCGUAGGGGGUAAGCUUUGUACGGAAUUAUGUGGCGUAAAGAGAUGGUAUGCGGUCUGUCACUGCUGCGGUUGAAGCCCGGUGGUUAACGCCGGGCUUGCAGGGGAGACGGGCAGACGAGAGGCAGGUAGGGGAGAAUGGAAUUCCCGGUGUAGCGCUGAAAUGCGCGGAGAUCGGGAGGAACAGCGGUGGCGAAGGCGGUUCUCAGGGCCUGACCUGACGCUGAGGAGCGAAAGCGUGGGAAGCGAACAGGAUUAGAUACCCCAGUAGUC